rnacentral:rRNA from 1 species
UGGGGAAUAUUGGACAAUGGGCGCAAGCCUGAUCCAGCCAUGCCGCGUGAGUGAUGAAGGCCCUAGGGUUGUAAAGCUCUUUCAGCGAGGAGGAUAAUGACGUUACUCGCAGAAGAAGCCCCGGCUAACUUCGUGCCAGCAGCCGCGGUAAUACGAAGGGGGCUAGCGUUGUCCGGAAUCACUGGGCGUAAAGCGCACGUAGGCGGACUUUUAAGUCAGGGGUGAAAUCCCGGGGCUCAACCUCGGAACUGCCUUUGAUACUGGAAGUCUGGAGUCCGAGAGAGGUGAGUGGAACUCCGAGUGUAGAGGUGAAAUUCGUAGAUAUUCGGAAGAACACCAGUGGCGAAGGCGGCUCACUGGCUCGGUACUGACGCUGAGGUGCGAAGGCGUGGGGAGCAAACAGGAUUAGAUACCCUGGUAGUCCACGCCGUAAACGAUGGAAGCUAGCCGUCAGGGUGCAUGCAUCUUGGUGGCGCAGUUAACGCAUUAAGCUUCCGCCUGGGGAGUACGGUCGCAAGAUUAAAACUCAAAGGAAUUGAC